rnacentral:rRNA from 1 species
UGGGGAAUAUUGCACAAUGGGCGCAAGCCUGAUGCAGCCAUGCCGCGUGUGUGAAGAAGGCCUUCGGGUUGUAAAGCACUUUCAGCGGGGAGGAAGGCGAUAAGGUUAAUAACCUUGUCGAUUGACGUUACCCGCAGAAGAAGCACCGGCUAACUCCGUGCCAGCAGCCGCGGUAAUACGGAGGGUGCAAGCGUUAAUCGGAAUUACUGGGCGUAAAGCGCACGCAGGCGGUCUGUCAAGUCGGAUGUGAAAUCCCCGGGCUUAACCUGGGAACUGCAUUCUAAACUGGCAGGCUAGAGUCUUGUAGAGGGGGGUAGAAUUCCAGGUGUAGCGGUGAAAUGCGUAGAGAUCUGGAGGAAUACCGGUGGCGAAGGCGGCCCCCUGGACAAAGACUGACGCUCAGGUGCGAAAGCGUGGGGAGCAAACAGG